CAGUCGCCGCGGUAAUGCGUAGGUGGCAAGCGUUAUCCGGAAUUAUUGGGCGUAAAGCGCGCGUAGGCGGUUUUUUAAGUCUGAUGUGAAAGCCCACGGCUCAACCGUGGAGGGUCAUUGGAAACUGGAAAACUUGAGUGCAGAAGAGGAAAGUGGAAUUCCAUGUGUAGCGGUGAAAUGCGCAGAGAUAUGGAGGAACACCAGUGGCGAAGGCGACUUUCUGGUCUGUAACUGACGCUGAUGUGCGAAAGCGUGGGGAUCAAACAGGAUUAGAUACCCCCGUAGUCCCUGUCUCUUAUAC
rnacentral:rRNA from 1 species